rnacentral:lncRNA from 12 species
AGUUUGCUGUAGCCUUAUAACUUCUCUCAGCUUUUCUUACCUGCCAGGUAUUAGAUGUGCAAUACUCUAUAGCAAAUACAGCUACAGCCUAAGUAAAUCUCACCUUUUCUCUGUAAUUUCAGAGCAGAAUUUUAUAGCAAAGCCAGCAUUCCUCCCAUUAAAAUUCCAUUGGGGGGAUUUCUGUAUGCAGGGAACAGCUCAGAACUGACUGCCCUCUUCCAAGCCAUACAAGAAGUUAGUGAUAUGUUUCAGGGUAGCUUUUGGCAUAGGAAAAAUUAGAUUUAGAACACACAGACAAAUUACAGAGUCAGCUGGUCCUGUGAUGGCCUGAGCAAUAAUGAGAUGAACUCUUGCUCAGCCUCUGUCUUCAGUGGGAUCCAGGACCCAGCCUACUCAGUGGUGGAUCCCCCACUCCUUGUCUCCUUCUGUGAUACCAGCUCAUCCCUUGACUCACAAUAGACAAUCUUCAACCAGAGGUCUGUGAAUGAUGCUCUGCUCGAUUCAGUCUGGAGAGCUCAAGAGAAGCUUUGUUGUGGAUGGAGGCAGAAGAAUGGGGAGACCUGCCCACCUCCACCCAUGCUCUCCUUAUUUGAUGGCACUGCAACUGUUAUGGUGUAAUGUAAAUGUGUGUCUUGGCGAGCACAUGGAAGGAAUUAAUGACGACAUCCCAAAUAUCAUGCUAUGGAAAACAAGUUAUCCGUACACAAUAACUCUGUUAGCUGGCUUCUAUGAAGAAUACUUCUGAGAAGCUUGAUGACAGUAAGUUGAUUGACAUCUCAGGAA